rnacentral:misc_RNA from 1 species
GAUGAAGAACGUAGCGAAAUGCGAUAAGUAAUGUGAAUUGCAGAAUUCAGUGAAUCAUCGAAUCUUUGAACGCACAUUGCGCCCACCAGUAUUCUGGCGGGCAUGCCUGUUCGAGCGUCAUUACAACCCUCAGGCCCCCGGGCCUGGCGUUGGGGAUCGGCGGAAGCCCCCUGCGGGCACAACGCCGUCCCCCAAAUACAGUGGCGGUCCCGCCGCAGCUUCCAUUGCGUAGUAGCUAACACCUCGCAACUGGAGAGCGGCGCGGCCACGCCGUAAAACACCCAACUUCUGAAUGUUGACCUCGAAUCAGGUAGGAAUACCCGCUGAACUUAAGCAUAUCAAUAAGCGGAGGA